rnacentral:snRNA from 1 species
GUGCUCAUUUCGGCAGCACAUAUACUAAAACUGGAAUGAUACAGAGAUUAGCAUAGCCCCUGCGCAAGGAUGACACACAAAUUCUUGAAGUGUUCCAUGUUUUU